AGCGAGAUGCAUAAUUGGUCUACUAGUUCUCAGACAGGCAAAACUGUGCCCCAAUCCCCAAGAAGUACACACUUCUGAUGAUUUCAAUUGACAGGCACAAGUGAUUAGCCACAAUUCAUCGCAACAACAAGGUAAAUGGAAACACAAAGGGCACCAUAAUUAAACAUGUAGGGUACUUCGGCAGAUCUAACUCGUCAGGUAGCAACCACAACCUCUUUGUUACACACCAAAACCAUCUGAUCUGAUCUGAGACGAGGAAGAAACAGGAACCGGGUUGAUCAGGCGGACGCGGAGGCGGCGGUGCGGGAGCGGUAGAGCUUGCCGAAGACGUGGAGGGCGGUGACGAAGCCGAUGAAGCAGACGGACAUGACGAGCACCAUGGUCGGGGAGAGGCGCAGCCCCGGGGCCUCGUCGGUGUAGAAGCGCAGCAUGUUGUUCCCUCCGCCGCCGGAGAAGCCUCCGCCACCGGACGCGGAGG
rnacentral:lncRNA from 1 species